GGCAAAUUUUUAGACGUUAUAAUUCUUUCGAUAUAUGAUUGGCAAUUAUCGUGAGUUAACUGGAAUCUUUUGUAUGAAACAGGAACAACUUCAAGAACAGGCUAACCUGUGAUAAGGCUAUGAAAAUCUCAAGCACUUGUUAGGAGAGAUAAAUAAAUGCUAAGGUUUAAGUUUUAACCUAAUCUCGAAGAUCCGUGCAGUGGUGUUAAUUCGGUAAAAACAUAUAGACUUUUCCAUUGAUUACUAAUGUGGUUAACAAACUAAUCAAAUCGUGAUUAUACGAACACUUAAAAUUAUGCAUUCAUCCUAGCAUGAACUUAAACACUUGUUUUGGUUUUGCACAUUUGUAGUUCAAUUUUGCAAGUGAGGGGGAUAAUAAAGUUACAAAGUUUAAAUA